AGCCAGUUGACGAGUCCCAAAUAGGACGAAAUGAGUGUCCUGGAU
rnacentral:hammerhead_ribozyme from 1 species